CUGGGAUUUCUCCUUUUAACUGCAGUGAGGUCACACUACUGUGUCUGUGACAUAGCUGCAGGUGGCGAUGGGAGAUGACAGCUUUAUCAGCACUCUGCUUUGCAAUGACUUCACAGCAGGGUACAGGAGCAGAUGGCUGGGAAGGAGA
rfam:Spermophilus tridecemlineatus cont1.255275, whole genome shotgun sequence.